rnacentral:rRNA from 1 species
GAUGAACGCUGGCGGCGUGCCUAAUACAUGCAAGUCGAGCGAACGGACGAGAAGCUUGCUUCUCUGAUGUUAGCGGCGGACGGGUGAGUAACACGUGGAUAACCUACCUAUAAGACUGGGAUAACUUCGGGAAACCGGGGCUAAUACCGGAUAAUAUUUUGAACCGCAUGGUUCAAAAGUGAAAGACGGUCUUGCUGUCACUUAUAGAUGGAUCCGCGCUGCAUUAGCUAGUUGGUAAGGUAACGGCUUACCAAGGCAACGAUGCAUAGCCGACCUGAGAGGGUGAUCGGCCACACUGGAACUGAGACACGGUCCAGACGCCUACGGGAGGCAGCAGUAGGGAAUCUUCCGCAAUGGGCGAAAGCAUGACGGAGCAACGCCGCGUGAGUGAUGAAGGUCUUCGGAUCGUAAAACUCUGUUAUUAGGGAAGAACAUAUGUGUAAGUAACUGUGCACAUCUUGACGGUACCUAAUCAGAAAGCCACGGCUAACUACGUG